UCCCAUUCAGCACGGGCAGUCCUGCUAGAGUGCACCCUUUCGGGUUUGCAACUAACAGCAAGGGUUUCGCUCGUUGCGGGACUUAACCCAACACCUCACGGCACAAGCUGACGACAGCCAUGCACCACCUGCGCAGAAGUCCCUUGCGGGAGGCUCUCGCUUUCACGAAAGCUUCCUCUACAUGUCAAGCCCAGGUAAGGUUCUUCGCGUUGCCUCGAAUUAAACCACACGCUCCGCUGCUUGUGCGGGCCCCCGCCUAUUCCUUUGAGUUUUAGCCUUGCGGCCGUACUCCCCAGGCGGUCAACUUCACGCGUUAGCUUCGUUACCAAGGAAUUACUUCCCCGACAACCAGUUGACAUCGUUUAGGGCGUGGACUAC
rnacentral:misc_RNA from 1 species